ACGUAGGGGGCGAGCGUUAUUCGGAAUUACUGGGCGUAAAGGGUGUGCAGGCGGCCCUUCAAGUCGCAUGUCAAAGUCCAGUGCUCAACGCUGGGAGUGCACGCGAAACUGACGGGCUUGAGGGCUGGAGAGGUGAGCGGAAUUCCCGGUGUAGCGGUAAAAUGCGUAGAUAUCGGGAGGAACACCAGCGGCGAAGGCGGCCCACUAGACUGUUUCUGACGCUAAGACACGAAAGCGUGGGGAGCAAACAG
rnacentral:rRNA from 1 species